GCUCUGUCCUCACCACACAGGGCUCUGUCCUCACCACACAGAGCUCUUCCCUCACCACACAGGCUCUGCCCUCACCACACAGCUCUGUCCACUCCACACAGUGCUCUGUCCUCACCACACAGGGCUCUGUCCUCACUACACAGGCUCUGCCCUCACCACACAGAGCUCUGCCCUCACCACACAGAGCUCUGCCCUCACCACACAGAGCUCUUCCCUCACCACACAGGGCUCUGUCCUCACCACACAGGUAUGUCCUCACCACACAGGGCUCUGUCCUCACCACACAGGGCUCUGCCCUCACCACACAGGGCUCUGUCCUCACCACACAGGGCUCUGUCCUCACUACACAGGCUCUGUCCUCACCACACAGGGCUCUGUCCUCACCACACAGAGCUCUGCCCUCACCACACAGAGCUCUGCCCUCACCACACAGAGCUCUUCCCUCACCACACAGGGCUCUGUCCUCACCACACAGAGCUCUUCCCUCACCACACAGGCUCUGCCCUCACCACACAGGGCUCUGCCCUCACCACACAGGUCUGUCCUCACCACACAGGUCUGUCCUCACCACACAGGGCUCUGUCCUCACCACACAGGUAUGUCCUCACCACACAGGGCUCUGUCUUCACCACACAGGGCUCUGCCCUCACCACACAGGGCUCUGUCCUCAUCACACAGGGCUCUGUCCUUACACACAGCACUCUCUUCGCACCUUAA
rnacentral:lncRNA from 1 species